UGGAGUUACAACAUGUCCUUGGUUCUUGUCACCCACCCGGCCUUAAAUUGCAUUAAUUAUUUUCUUUAAUUAUCUUGGCCCCAGCAUUUCUUCUCCAUAACUAUUCCUUUCUUCACUCACUUUCAGUUUGCUGUAUCUUUUUAUUUUCUGUCCUGUCUUUUCCCCCCAACUCUACCAUAUAGAAUGCUCUCAGCUUUCUGCUCUUAUUAAAUUUAGCACAAUUCUUUGCCACCAAUCUCUGUCUUGCAUAUUGCCCUAUCUUCCACCUUCAAGCACUCAAGUUUUCAAAUCUCAUCCAGUGCAGUCUGUAACAAUCAGUCUUCCCUUUUAUUCCCAUCUGGUAAGUCUGCCCUGACCUGGGGUUCUGGCCAACUUUUCUGGACUCUCCCCGUUUCCUAAAUUUCACCAGUCCUUUUCCUUCCCCGCUCUUCCUUCCCCUUCCACCUUUCUGCCAGAAGAAAGAGCCACUGGCUCUGGAAGCUUGCUAUGUGUUUUUUCCUGCCAGCACUUGAUUUGCAGACUUUUUAUCAAUCCAAUUACAUCAUCAUAUUUUUAAAAAUUAUUUUCAUUGAAAUAAUAAUGCUGAUUUUUUGGAAUAUAUAUCCUUUCUUCUGUAAGUAAUUAGAACAAUAAGGUAGAAACAUAUACUAAAACAAGGGAAUGAAUGAAAAAUUACUGUGAAUUGCUAAGAAAUCGCUUGAGGUAAAUUCAUUGAUGAACAUUGUAACUUUGGUAAAUCCACAAACUCAGUUUGUUUCAAUAGGAGGGGAGACUUACAAAACUCCAGGAGAAGAAUCUCUAACUUAUCGUCACUUCUUUCUUUCAUGUUACUAUUGACUGUGUCACAGUCCAACCUUUAAAGUGAGUAAAACAAAUUCCAGCAUAUUUUUUCUUGGAAAUACAAAAAUGACAAAAAUUCAACUUCACAGUGAAAAUACAACUCUUUUAGCUAAAUGGCAGACAUAGCUGAGAGACAUAACUCAAAGAAGAUGUAAAUAGAGCUAGGACAGUUGCUAGGUUUGUGUUUUGAACCUAAAUAUGAAAGCAAUUUAACACAAAUGAUAAUAGCAGAUGUUUGUUUUUGUAAUGUAGUUUCAUUACAGUGGUUGUGGUCCAGAAAGGGUAUGGCUGUUACUGUUUGCUGCUACUAUUCUGAGAAAUUGUUGUGUUCAGUUAUUCUAGACAGAAACAGACUACUCAGUUGUUUAAGCAUAGUGUUAAAUCACCAUAUACUUGCAGACAGAAUCUAUAAAUUUAUGUAUAACCACAUAUGUCUUGUAAAUCUAAGCAUUUUAGUAUGAGAAUUUCACCUGAAAUCAUACAUGUCCAUAUGCAACAGUUCAUGUAUAGUUCGGUUUGUGUUGUCAGCAUGAAAUUAAAGAUUGAAACCGCUGUUAUGUAUUUUGGUAACCAGUACCUUGACUAUUUUAAUUUUGAAAUGCUGCAAUGAAAUAGUUGAUGUAAAAUAUCUUCCAGAGUGAGGUGGUAUAGUGAUUAAGGCAUUAUGAUCACACAUAGGAGGUGCAGUGUUCAGAUCCUCUUCUGGCCACCCUGAGUCAUAUUUUCUGUACUUUUCCCUAAACUGCUUCAAGCGGAUAGCAGGAUAAUUGCUUAAUUGGUUUGAAAAGGAAAUGACCAAGAGCUUUCCCCAUAAUUGCCCAUUUAGAGUUAAGUUCCAUUUCUUAUGACAUUGUCAUCAUCUGAAUUUUUAAAUCUAAUCUUACUGCUUUCCCCUGCAAGAUUUAAAUAUUUCCAGUGGAAAGUCAAUAAGUACACAUUGCACAUAAAAUGAUGGAUCAGUCCAGCAUCCAGUUAAGUAAUACAAAAACAGCAAGCCAGAUCAAUUUGUAUGUCAGACCUUGUAUAAUAUUGUGUCUACUAUAGACAAACUGUAUAUGCAUAUAAUUCUAUUUCUAAAUGGCAGAUAUUUCAGGGAUUUAAACAAACUAAACAAUACAUGUUGUAAAACACCACUUCCAUUUUCCAUUUUUUGGCUUGCACAGUGUUUUUCGGACAUGUCAUGCAGGAAAUCUGCAUACCUCACACAAAACCAAUAAGAGUGUGAAUAGUGUUCUGUAACAAUCAGUUGAAUCAUAAUGAGUUGAUACAGGAAAUGGGAUGAUUUUCAAAGACGUGAUAGUCUGAAGAAAGUCCAUACACUGCUGAGUUUGCAAAAUAGGCAGUACAGUACAAAAAGACACCAUUAAUGAACUCACACAGAAGUAGAGAACUGUCUCAAUUACUUGCUGUGGUAAAAUCAUUAUCUUCUGAAACUAUAUGACAGACUGUAGGCACUUUCUCUUCAGGUUUGUUGUACUACUGAGAGAUGGGUAUCCUGCUAAUGGCUGCAAUCUUUACCUAUUGGGAGUGCUUCGCAGUUGGGUUGUCUGAAGCUUGUUUGGUGGAGGCUGCCCAAGGAGGAGACACCUGAAGAGUUGUCUGCUGGGAUUUGCUCCACGUGAAUGAACCUUGCUUUCUGACUGUGAAAUGAUGCUGACUGAAAAACAAAGCAUCUUACUUCAUUGGUUUGGAAAUACAGUCACCUGCUGCUGAUGUCUGGGGGGCAAUUCCUUUUUGUAAUACUAUGUGUAUCUGUCUGGAACAGAGAUCAGUUGUAGGUUCAGUGGCAUUCCUCUUGCUUCCUGUGUACAUACAAAUAUAUUGAGGGAGCUGUUGCAAGUAUGUACAAAAACUCAAAGUAAACCAAAGUUUUUUUUAA